rnacentral:rRNA from 1 species
GAUCAUGGCUCAGAUUGAACGCUGGCGGCAGGCCUAACACAUGCAAGUCGAGCGGUAGAGAGGUGCUUGCAUCUCUUGAGAGCGGCGGACGGGUGAGUAAUGCCUAGGAAUCUGCCUGGUGGUGGGGGAUAACGUUCGGAAACGGACGCUAAUACCGCAUACGUCCUACGGGAGAAAGCGGGGGAUCUUCGGACCUCGCGCCAUUAGAUGAGCCUAGGUCGGAUUAGCUAGUUGGUGAGGUAAAGGCUCACCAAGCCGACGAUCUGUAGCUGGUCUGAGAGGACGACCAGCCACACUGGGACUGAGACACGGCCCAGACUCCUACGGGAGGCAGCAGUGGGGAAUUUUGGACAAUGGGCGCAAGCCUGAUCUAGCCAUGCCGCGUGAGCGAUGAAGGCCUUAGGGUUGUAAAGCUCUUUCAGAUGGGAAGAUAAUGACGGUACCAUCAGAAGAAGCCCCGGCUAACUCCGUG